rnacentral:rRNA from 1 species
GAGUUUGAUCAUGGCUCACAUUGAACGCUGGCGGCAGGCCUAACACAUGCAAGUCGAGCGGUAGGGAAGCUUGCUUCUCACGAGCGGCGGACGGGUGAGUAAUGUAUGGGGAUCUGCCCGAUAGAGGGGGAUAACUACUGGAAACGGUAGCUAAUACCGCAUAAUCUCUCAGGAGCAAAGCAGUUCGUUGCGCUAUCGGAUGAACCCAUAUGGGAUUAGCUAGUUGGUGAGGUAAUGGCUCACCAAGGCGACGAUCCCUAGCUGGUCUGAGAGGAUGAUCAGCCACACUGGGACUGAGACACGGCCCAGACUCCUACCGGAGGCAGCACUGGGGAAUAUUGCACAAUGGGCGCAAGCCUGAUGCAGCCAUGCCGCGUG